CAGAGUACCGUUUCAGUGGCUUCAUAAUCUUGCGUAUGAAGCAUCGUAACGAGCCGAGAAAUGAUCCCUCUUUCUACUAACUUAUGUCUUAGUUUGGUUGCAAGUUUACCAAGUUCUCUGGUAGCUAAAAUCUGAGCUUCCCGUUCAUUAGAUAGAAGGGCUUCCACUAUCACGUCUUCCAUGAUUGAAAGCCCUCUAUCCCCCUCAGUCACUUCUCAACUCUCUUUAUGUGAAAAUGAAAAUAUAGAAAUGUAGUAUUUGAUUGCUUCAAGGUGGUGUAAGGUUUGGCUUUUGGGAAAAAAAUUUUGGGGUUGCAGAAAGGCAGAGGGAAGAAGGAGAAGAAUGUUUUUUCGUCCGUUGGAACAAUUUUGUUCCGUUAAAAAAUAGCUCCAUUUGGUUUAACUCAUUUUUUGUUGGGUUUACAGUUGGGUCUAACGUCAAUUUUCUUCAUUUCCCGUCAAUUGUCCUUAAUUGGCCAAAAUUACGUAACUUUGAGGAUGAAAUGUGUUUUGAGUGAAACUUUGAGGAUGAAAUUGAUCAACAGGCCAAACUUCGAGGAUGAAAAGUGCAUUUUUCCCUAAAACAAAUCAAGGGUCUCUCUAGUUGAAUUUUUAUUCAAUUAUGUAAAUAACACAAAAUUUGAUGUAGAAUGGUACAAUUUUGAUAGGAAUAUGAAUAUUAUUAACUCGUACAAUUAAUUCACCAUUACGUCAAAGUUAUAUGAGUUUAAGCUGAAAGUUGUAAGGAUUACAAUAAUUAGACUGUAAUGAACAGAAUCAACUAGAGAGGCCACUAAUCCCUUUAAAACGUGUUAAAAUUUCUUGUGGAAUUAUUAGAACUAGAAGCAAAGUAGUGUAGCCCUCUAAGAGAUAUUACUAAUUCUUUUGUCUCAUAAAAGUUUUAGAGUCUAGAGAUUUCCACUAUACCAUUAUUAAAACAAGAGGAAAACAAGGCCAACCUACUAAAGAUAUUUACACUAUUUAAAAGUGUGUAAUAAAUAGUCUUUCAUGCUAGAUUGAAUUGGACAAAAUUCAACUUGUAGACCUUAAUCUGGUAAUUAUCUGCUCAUGAACAUGAAUAAUCAGUGGGAUAAUUUCAAAAACCUCCCUUGGGGUUUCUGACAAUCUCACUGUCCUCUCCUGAGGUUUCUAGAAUAUCAGAAACCCCUUAUAAGGUCACUGGUGUCCAAUUGCUACAUCAAUCAUGGAGAAAUAACUUAAUUACUCAUACAACUUUAGAGGUAUUUCACAAUUGCAGACACCAAAAUUUUACCAAGAAAAAAAAAAUUUACCAUUUUAUUUUUAUAUAUUUUAUUUUACUUUAUUUUCUUCAUUUUUAUUACUAUUUAGUUGUUUUUGUUGUAAAUCUUACUUUAGUUUAUUUUGUUCAUUUUCUUAACAAAAUCAUUUUUUUCCAAUUCAUUUUUACAAAAAUUAGGCAGAAAAGAAAAUUAGAAAAAAAAGAAAAGAAAAAAAAUAACAAAAUCAGUUUUUUGUUAAAAAAAAAAGGGGGCAACCACAAGCACGCACGCUUCAUCUUCAUAAUACAAAACCAUGAACGAGUCAUGGCACCAGAAAAAUUGCAGCAGCCAUUUUGAUCCAUUUUCACUCAUUUUUCUUCCGUUUUUUCGCUCCAUUGGAUCACUCCAGUACCAAGCCACCUGGCUUUAAUCCAAACACCAAGAAAAUCCCAGGACAAAAGCCAUCUAAUGGCUCAAAAACCAUCAAGAAAAGUGCAGCUAAUCAGGAGGAAAUUCUUAAAUUAUUAUGAAAAAAAAAAAGUUUUUCUACAAGAGAGGGUAUUUGUGGGGGUGAUUUCUAAAAUCAGGUGGUUCGCAUUUGCUGAAUGCGAACUAGCUUAGCUCGCAUUCAGCAAAUGCGAGCUAACAAAAAGCCAAGUAGCAUUUUUUUUUUUAAGUCGACCUCGCAUUUCUCAAAUGCGAGGUCCUUUGUCUGUCGGUCAAAAACGAAACACAGCUCCUUCAACCUCAGUCCUCUCUUUGACUCAUUUAACCAGAAAAAUCCUAAGAAACCACAAAAUUGAGAAAUACAAAUUGAGGGGAAAUUGCAUCCCAAAUCCGUCAUUGGAAUCCUCGGAAGUAGCAACAUUCAUCAAGAGUGCAGCUGUUGGAGGGAAGGAGUCCAACUCUGGUCAUUUCGGAAGCUCUCGCCAGAAAGUUGAAUCCCCGAAAAGCUGCAAAACGAAGACCAGAAAAUGUUGAAGCUACAGCCAUCUUUCGGUGAAUAAGGUAAGCUUUCUGAUGUUAUUGUCCAAUGACGGAAGAAGAUGCUGAAAUGCCAGUGACGAAGAAGAUGAUAUUGUCCAGUGACGGAAUCUCGCAUAUGCAGUGCUGACCUCGCAUGUGUCAAACGUGGGGUUGCCUAACCUUUUGACAAGGUAACCUCGCAUUUGUCAAAUGCGAGGUCUGAAGCAAUUUUUUUUUUUUUAUUUUUGUAAAAUCAGAAAUUCAAUAAUAAAUCGCAUUUGCGAAAUGCGAACUUAGUGAGCUCGUAUUUUGCAAAUACAAACAUCACUUAGACAGAAUGCUACACUAAAAAAGCUCCAUUUGUAGAAAAAUUUUAAAUUUCAUAAUAAAUUUAGAAAUUUCUCAGCUAAUCUGCACCUUAGAUGCUAGGGUUGGGGUGAGUUUUGUGCCUAUAAAAAGGUUCCAAAAAAUGCAAGAAAGCGAUGGGGGAUAAAUAGGAGCCGAAAAAAGAAAAAAUACAGAGGAAAAGGAGAGAAAAUUGAGGGAGAAAGGGAAGAAAAAGUGCAGAAAAAUUUUUAGGAAGAACACGAGCCAGGGUUGACUAUUGGGGGUGUUUCGUGGUCAUAUUUCGGUCUAGCCUCUCUGGAGCAGAUGUUGCUUUCUGGGUAAUCUAGAAUGAUCAAGGAAUAAUAUUGGUGUGAAAAGUUUUGGAAAAAACCGCUGCAACAUCUUCAAAUUUGGGCUUGAACUUGCUGCCUUAGUCAUCUUUAAAAUUUCUGCAGCAAAGAUCUUAACUUUCAGAUUUCAGUUUUGAAUCUCACUCUCCUCGGAUUUCCCGUGUUUGUUUGGUAUCUUCUCAUCAAAGGUAACUCUUUUUGCUCACUUCCUUUCCGUAUAAGCUUAAAUCCUUCCCAAUCUGUCAAAAUGCUGGUUGCAUCUGGGCUUGUUUUGUUUUCUUUUGAUGUUCAUUUUAGCUUAGAUUUUUUAUAUAAUCUUGUGUUAAACGUAAUAAGAUUGAGUGUUGAGGGUAGAGUUGCGUAAUCUAUUUGUUUGGAUCCAAGAUCUUGGUGUUUGGUUGAGAUAUUGCUGGUGUUUCAUCGAAUGCGAAAGGAGAUUGCAGAAAGCUUCCUGAUUGCAGCAAAGCUUCGACCAGGCUACAUGAAAAUUUUGUGGAAAUUUCGUUUUGGUCCCUCAACCUUUGCUUAAUUCUGAUAUGGCCCAAAAUCUGAAAAAUCUCAAUCAAUUUUGCCCCUUUUAAAUUCUAAUCUUCUUUUGCAUGCUUUAUGUGACCUUUUAGGUAGAUUAAUCCUGGGAUUUAACACAUAAUUAAGGCUUAGCAUUUUUUUUUUUUGUAGAUUUAUUACUUGGUUGGGUUUUAGUAAAAUAGGUUAGGUUGGGUUAAAGUUUUUGUUGUGGGCUUUUGGUUAUAGAUUGGGGCUUUUUUUGAUUGGGUUUUGACUUGGGCUAGGAGGCCAAAGCCCAUACUUAUUCAGUUGGGUUUGAUUGGGUAAAACUAUGGCCUGGCCUGUGUAUUUUGCUUUGGACUUUAGCUGGGCUUGGGGAGGUUUCGGCCCAACCAAAACAAAAGAAAAUGAAAGUUGGCCCAAUGGCCCAAUUAUUUAAGUGAUCUGGUGACGAAAAAUGCAAGUCAGUCCCUAGACUUUUCAGUAAUUAUGAUGUGAGUCUAAAAACUUUAGGUUUCUUUCAAUUAGAUCCUUAAUUUAAUUGUAAAUAGGUCCCUAAACUUUAUUUUUCUUUCUUUCGCCCCUAAUUUUUAUAAUAAUUAUAAUUUGACCCCAAUAACUUUCUUAUUUGUUGUAAUUAGGUCCCUAGUAGUUUUGAUUUCUUAAAUAUAAUUUACUUUUCUUCUUUAAUUGUUAUUUAUACUUCAUUUAGGUGAUUUAAUUGGUAGAUUUCAUGAUUAUUUCUAUUUCUUUAUAAUUAAAUUAGUGUCUUGAUCAUUUUAUUGAUUUUGAAGCAUAAGUAGGGCAAAUUUCACCCCAUUCAACCACAAUUUCAAGGGAGGUAACUUCUUUUAUUAUUUGAAAUUCUUUUAUGUGCUCCAAUGUGUUUUAUGUGUAAUUGCAUGUUUUGAGUGUUUUUUUCUUUUAAUUAUUCAUUUUUAUUCAUUUUAAGUUUCAUUUAUUUUAUUUCAUUUUUGAUAAUUAUUUGAGAGGCAUUAAAAUGCCAAAUUGUAAUAGAUAGAUGAUCAGGACAUGUAUCUAGCUAGUCUAUGUAAUAGAUAGGUUUUAAUUUUUGCUAAAAAUGUAUUUAGUUAAAUAAAUGUAAUAGUUAGGUUAUUAUUUUUAGAAUUCUCCCUUUAGAUUGUAAUUAGGGCCUCGAAUGCAAUAGUUAGACUCUUAUUUGCGUUUAUUUGCUUAGGUGCUUGCAUGCUUGUGUGCUUAUGUGUUUAUUCGCUUUCAUUAGAGUUUUGCAUCUAAAAAUUAUGCCUAUGUAUUAUAUGUUUUAUGUGCAUUAUGUGUUUAAUUCCUUUUAUUAUGCUUUAUAUGAUUUUAUUUAGUUUUAAUAAAUGCAUGACGUCACCACAUUAGUCCAUCGUUAGUUGUAGCCUUUCUCCCUGAUUUCUCACUAGUCCAACGCUAGUGAAGACGUGUAGAAAUGGGUUAGUCCAACGUUAGACCCUUUAGGCCGUUUUCGCGCUAGAUUCACAUUCUUUGCGUGACAUUCAUCACAUCUCAUACAUGUUUUUCGUUUUUAGGGUCUUUUCUCAUCUUGCAUGAUAUUUCCUCUAUAUAUUACCUCUCUCAUCCCUAUGUGCAAAACAUGACAUUUAGAUUUGCAUCUCAUUUAGGAAAUUAGAAAUAGGUUAACUCAUUUGCUUGACUAUAUUAGAAAAGUCACCUUUUGAAUAUGGGAAAUGAACGAGUGUGGCUUCUUAGUCUUAGCACGCUCUCAUCCUCUCUAUAAAAAGGAAAAUUAAAGUCACGAAUCUUAGUCUCCCAUACCCGUUAUGUUGCAUUCCUCUCCUUUAGGUCAUGUAUAUUUAUAUAUUAUAAUUUUUCUUUUCUUUGAGUCUCAUUUUUGCAUAUUCGUGACCUUUUCUAAAAAUCAUUUAGGGCAUCAUAAUUAAUGUGAUUUGCACCAAUUAAACUUUGAAGAGAUAUUUCGACCCUUUCGAUAUUCAUUAGAUCUAGAUUUGCAUCCAUAUAGAAAUGUCCUAAUGUGAUAAGUUUUAUAGGUUAGAUUAAGAAAAAUUUUGACUAAAUCACGCAACUAACCCUGGCUAGGUUGAAAGGGUGCCUUAGAUCAAAUCUUUACCUUCCCUUUCUUCAACCGUGACUCUCGAACUUUUUUUCUUUUGUUUUUCAAAAACCUGGAGUAGUCUAAAAAGGGUUUUGUUUAUUUUUUAUUAAAAAACAUAUUUUAAGUGACUUGGUAUACCUAAACUCAAUACCAAGUGGCAACUCCUGUUUUUUUCUUAAAAACCCUUUUUAGACUAUUAUUUUGUACCAAAAUCGUCGCACUUUUUAAGUCCUAUUUUAUGCCCUUUUUCUUUUGUUUCUUCCCUAAAAUAAAAACUCAUUUUUCACUCAUCAUUUUCAAAUAAAAUUCAAAUUUUCUCGAUAACUUAUAAAUUUUAUUUUAUUUUUCAAAAAAAAUGGGGCGCGACAACAAUUAUGUUGACAUGAUUAGUUAUAUUGUUAUUAACUAGGUUUAAAAGAAACAAUGACAAUUUAUAAGUUUUUUAAAAUUUUUCUAGCAUGCCACUACAAAAUGGGGCCAAAUAUAGGCACAUUUCUAUAAUUGAUAAUUGAUGUGCGUGAGUAGAAGUAAUGAUUCAAACUUUAGAUGGUUUUGUGGAAUAAAAGAAAUAGAGCUUCUUUAAGCAUAUCUAAGGAUUUAGGAGACUUCAAGAGGAAAUUUGCUUUCAAAUUUUUUUCAAAAUUUUGGUGAUUGCGAAAAUCUCAAGGUCAACCUUUAAGAUUUUUCUACUCUUAAAUUUUGGAAAUUUUUAUUAUUUGAUUGCAGAUGUUAAAGUAGUUAUUGAUGAUCAUGCUUAAUAGUGACCUUCCAAGUGAAAAAAAAGUAUCUUGGAUCAAACCAAAAAAAGGAAAAUUUGACAUUAUGUAGUUUGUAUCAUGUUCUAUAUGAUUUGCUCCAUUUGAAGAUUGGUAUUGAAUUGUUGUGUUUUUUCUUUUUUUUAUCCUAAGUGUUACUUUUAUUAUCAUGGAAAAUGGAUGUUGGUGUUGUAUGAAAUAUAUGUUAAGAUUGUUGGUUUUAUGCUACUAAAUUGAAAAACCUUUUAAUGAUGACCAAUUUUUUUCUUGUUUGUGAUUAUUCAACAAAUAGUCUUUUUUAAACUAAAAUGUUGGCAAUAGUAGUGCUUACAUAUUUUGUUUUUCUUGUAGCAGAGUAUGCAAUUGAUUGUGUUAUAAUAGACAUAAUAGUAUGAUAUUACAAGUGCAACAUGUACAUAAGACUUUGAAUUGUUGUAAAGUUAGAAAGUUGAUAUUUUGUUUACGCUCUAUGAAUGCGGUAAUAGUUGCACAAAUUGAAGCCUUACUUUUGUAAGCAAUUUCACUUAUAUCCUCUCACAUUUGAUAAAGUUAAAAUAGGUAUCUAUUGUUCAUAGUAAAUUAACUACCUAAUGCAAAAACUUGAAGGUAAUUAUAGAAUCAAAUUAUUUUCUCUCUCCUAAUACCAAUUUUAUAUUGUUUUUGCAUUUGAAUUGGAUUGAUUUGUUAUCAACUAAUUAGUUUUAGGAGAGAUUUUCGAUAUUUUGAAAAUCUCAAUGGAGGACAGUGGGAUUGUCAAAAACCUCAGGAGAUGUUUUUGAAAUUAUCCCAUGACUAGUAGAGUUAAUAAUAGAAACCUCCUCGAAGGUUUCUUCUAAUCACACCUAGUACCCCCUCUCCCCCAUGUUUUUGAAAUCACACCUAGCACUCUUGGAAUGACAAUUUUGGUAUCAUUGUCAGCCUCUCUGUUUGAAAAAAAAGAGUAAUAAAAAAUAAAUUCUAGGAGAGGAAUUUAUUUUUGUUCCACUUUUACCCACAGGCCAAGAUGAUUAGUGAAUUUUAGGAGAUACAAAUACAAACAAAUAGGCAUAUGAUAUUAAUUCAGAAGGUGAGAAGGUAAAAGUGUAAUAAAAAAAGAAUGUUAUAACGACGGACUUCCAAAUGACCGUUGCUUCCAAUGGUUAAACUGAUGAUGCUUGAUCUCUAUAAAUUGCUUUCAAUGGAAGACACCACCAAUACGUAGCACUUAAAUGGGAAAUUUUGCAGCAAGUUGAUUGGAGAUUCAGUAAGGAAACAAACAGUUCUAAUUGGUACAUCGGCAGCUAUAUUUUUAUUCAAAUCAUAAAAAUCGAUUUGAUGAAGUAGAAGUAAUAUUUUCAGUGCUUCACACGUUUCCAAACUCAGUAAACAUUAUGUUAGUCAUAGAUAAUACAAACUUCGGCAGUGAUUAUUUGGGGUGCAUGUUGAAGUAUAAGAAAAUAAGUAGCGAUGUAGAUUCCAAGAGCUAAUAUACCCAAAAAAGUUAACAAUCCUACAUAUUUCAAUUUAGAAAUCUUACUACAAAAUUAAUACAACACACACAGAAAAAGGCAUGUUCAUGGAUGCAUCAGAGCAUUAUUUCUACCCUUAAAUGCACAAUAUUGGUGGUUUUUGGGUAAUUUCCGCCCUUUUGAUAGAGACAGCCUGUCACAUCCUACCGCCACGGGUGUUUGGUGUGAUUUUGAAAAUAUGAGGGGUGGGCCAGGUGUGAUUAGAAGAAGCCUCAGGUAGAUUUCCGAUAUUAACCCUAAACUAAACGACAUUCCAUGACCUAAAAAGUAAUCCAUAAUGGAUAUAAGGAUGGGGGGUAGAGAUUCACGUGCUUGUUGGCUGGCAUCAGUUGCGUCAAAAGUUGGAGCACUCCCCGGUUACCGACAGAGUUUUUGAUGGUUACGUCUACGGUGGAAAGUACACUUUUCUGUCCAAAGUAGGCAGAAGAAAUGUAAGGAGGCCAACUGUGCUCUGUGGGGACGCACGAAUAAGAAAUAUCCGGGCACCACUCAAGAAAAACCGGUUGUGCGUGGAUGAAAAAUGUACUCUUAAAAAUUUAUUCAACAUCUAAUGCCCAAUACUUAUAUUUGAUAAAUUAAAAUAGUUAAUUAAAUAUACUAUUAUAAUAUAAACAAUUAUAUAUCAUUUCUUUUUUUGGCAUUUCACCUAGUUGUCAAUUAAGUUUCAAUUGAAAUAAAGAUUUUAUAAUUAUUUAAAUUAUUCAAUAAAAUUAUCAAUUUAAGAUGAACAUAAAUAUAAAUACAUUAAAUUGUAUUAUUGAAAUAUUUGAUUUGAUAUGAAGGAAAGACAAAAGAAAUAGCAAUAAAUUUUUUAAAAAUUCGUGUGAGUCCUCCUUUACUUGUUAUUGCAAUCAUAGUGCCUAAUCAUAACCGAUUGAAACUCAUAUCCACAAGUUAAAUAACGAUUUGUGUUAUACUGUUUACAAUUAAAUUUACUAUACACUCAAAUUAAAACUCUCUUUUUUCCACUAAAUUUUCUUUUAUAUAUGAUUUAUGUAUUAUCAUUUGUUUGUAAUUAAUUUAACGAAAAGACUCUCUUUAGGCUAAAUGAUAUGUUUUGACAAUGUGGAUUACUUUUAAGGAUUUUAAUGAGAUUUAGAACACAUUUUUUAUGCAUAUAAUCUAAUUCACAUUUUAUUUCAUUUGAAGUAUAAUUAUUUAAAACAUAAGGGACCAUAUUGAUCAAAUUUUCAAAUAUUAGAGACCAAAAAUAUAAAGUCAAACUUUUGACUAAACCUAAAAAACUUGAUUUUGACCAUUAGAUAUUGUAGUUUUCUAUUAGUUGUCCUAAAUUUACCUAAAAUAAAAAAAUUUGAGAUCAUAUUUAUUUUGGCAAAAAUAUCAGGAACUAGUUUAAUUCAUAGACCAAACAUGAUAGGGUAUAAUUUGUUAGUAUUUUUAUUAUUAAUUUUCCCUUCUAUCCCUGACAAAUAUUGUGUUAAUUGCUGAUAUUUACUCAUAUUUGGUAUUUGGAAUCAAUUUCAGAAAUGAAGCAGAAAACUACCAAAAAGGAGGGACUUUGUGAAAAAUAUGGAGAUUUCUAAGGGCUUCAAUCCUUGGGCCCUUGAAUUGGUGGGGGACCACAAGCUAGUGAAAGGCAUUUGGUCAUUUGGGCUUCAAAGAAAGCAACGUAGAGAGACUUGGAACAAGAAGUACUUGGGAGGCUUUGUCCACAUGUGUGGGGACCACCUAGAUAACUUUUAGUCAUCUUUCUUUUGUUGCUUUAAAAGGGGACAACGUACAGAAGCAAAAGAUAUCUAGGGCUUUAGUUUUAGUUUUUUAGUUUAGUUCUAGUUUUCUUUCUUUGGACUGGCCUCUGACACACGCCAGGUAUUCGACAAUAUUCCCCAACGGGGAGAUUUUCUCAUGAGGCGUGGUUAAGCUUUUCUAGUCAAGGGGACAACUGACGAUUUGGUUCGACAAUUACUGUGAGAUCGAAUCUGUUUUAAUUAUUUUCUUCAUUUAUUGGUAUUUAUAUGUUCCUUGAUUUUAAUUGCUAUGGCCUUGUGUAUGAUUGAUUAGUGCGCAAUAAUUAAUUAUUCAUAUAGGCUAUUUUUGCUAAAUAGGGGUAAUUGAAUCCGUAAUUGUUCGUUAUCUCUACCUCAGUAGCAACUGGCGUAAUUGGGUUUAUGUCAGGGGAGCAUAUGGUCUAAUUUAAACAAACCCUCGUAGCGUGUUUGUUGGUUAGGAUUGGGCCUUCUAAUUAUUAAUGCAAUCUAGAAAUUAAAUCCUACGGUCGUACCUAGGGUUAUUUUUUGGUUAGAGAAAUAGCUAACGGUCGUACCUUAGCUAUCGAGAAAUUAAGGAAGGGUUGGUUGUUUAUCGCGUGCAUGACAACUAUAACUAAUCUAUUGCUAAAUGUUGGAAUUAUUUGUGCAUCAAUGAUCAGUGCAUGAACCAUUUCUGAUGUGUACUCUUGGCUAGAGUUUCCCCAAUCAUUUCUUUUAAUUAAUUAUUUUCUGCAGUUAAUUUAUUUAGUUAGCAUUUAAUCAAAAACCCCUCAUACUUUGGACUCUAGAAGAAACAAAUUAUCCCCAGUCCCUGUGGAUUCGACCCUACUCACCGCUAUAUACAAAAUCUGUAUUUUUCUCGAGUAGGUAUUUAUUAUUGUACAGGUUCGGCACCUGUCAAAACAUCAGGGACCAAAAUUGCUUAUCUUCCUUUAUUUUAAUCAUGUUUGAUAUCCCAACUCUUUCUUUUAUAUUUAUGCUUCAAUUAUUUCAAAUAUCAAACUCAAUUUAAAAAUAAAAACUAUUACAAUAUUUGUUUUGACAUAUACAAAAUUCACUAAAUAAUGUUAAAAAUUUCACUCAUUUUCCGUUAUACCAAUUUCGUCUACCUUUCCGUACCUUUGUUUUUCAUGUUUGUUUGACGUUCACUUUUUCAUUCUUCACUUUUCAUUGGGACCCACAUCUCGGUUGGAAAGUUCACAAAAUAUUUUCUAAGUAAUGAAUAUUAGAUGAUGAACAAAUUUUUACGACGACUUUUGUUGUAAUUUUAAAAUGUAUUGCAUUAUUUCAUACAAGCACAACCGGCUCCCUCCAAUGCCCAGUACAUUAAUUAUUUCUCUGUCGGUCUUUGUCCGUCCCCACAGAGCACGGUUGGCCUGCUUGCAUUGUUUCUGCGUCUAUGGGCAGAAAGGAGUAGACGUAACGUUAGGAAGUUGUCGUUGUCCGCCGGUUCAAUUUGGGUCGGCCUCCGACCAAAGUAGGCCCCAACUUGGCAUCUUGCACAGGGCGUCACCUGCUCAUGUACCCUUCUGUCGGCAGUCUGGCUCUUACCAUUAUUUAUGACUGUGACUUUUCUUUACCAUUUGCAUUUUCUGUGAUGCGAAUUUUUCUAUGAGAAUUAUCUCAUUGUUUUUACUUUCCUUUUUUUUCUCUAUUUGUUUUUUUGGAGAAUAAUGUAUUGGUAUGCAUUUUUAAAAUCUGAACCAUGAAAAUAUUCACAAGUCAUUCAUUUAUCGUGUUCUGCUUCUUUUUUAUAUGUUGGAACUUAGAGAUGGAAUAACUGAGAAUUGAGCUUGCGAGACACUAACAAAAGUUUGAACGUCUUUCAAGAUGAAGGGACACUUCCUUCAAAAAGAUAAAGUGACACUUAGCGAAUGAAUAAAUGACAAUUGGGUAUGCCAUGUACUAAGGAAAAGCCAAAUGUAUUUGAAGACAAAGUGGCCACUUUAUGAAAGUUAUUCACGAGUAAUAAAAUCGGAAGUUGUGAUAUGGGGAUAAGAUGGUUACGUCUACGGUGGAAUGUUCACUUCUCUGCUCAUAGUAGGCAGGAGCAAUGCGAAGAUAAGAUGGUUACGUCUACGGUGGAAAGUUAACUUUUCUGCCCAUAGUAGGCACGCACAAAGAAGGAUAUCCAGACACCACCGGUGAAAAUCGGCUGUGCGUGGAUGAAAAAUGUAAUACAUUUUAAAAUCAUAAUAAAAGUCUUCUUAAAAAUUUGUUCAUAAUCUAAUGUUCAGUACUUAUAUUUGAAAAAUUAAAAUAGUUAAUUAAAUAUUUUAUUAUAAUAUAAACAACUAUAUGCCAUUGAGUUGAUUAAAUAAUAUUUUCUUUUUUUUUUUUGACAUUUCAACUAAUUGUCAAUUAAGUUUCAAUUGAAAUAAAGAUUUUCAAGUCCAUAUCAUCUCAACCGUACCGACGUUGGAAUCCUCAACUUAAAGCUUUAAAAACUGAAUGCUUUUCUUUCAAUUUCCAUGUCUCAUGGUUUUAAUGAAAAAUUCAUCAUUCCAAGACUUCCCAUACAAUCAUACACAUGGUAUCUGACAAGGAUGUAGUGCAAUUGUAUUUUAUGCUAUUCUGUCCAGUUGUUGUGCGUGUUUAAAUUUUUCAUGUACAAAUAUAUGAAAAUAUUUUAUUGAAUAUAUAUUAAAUAUUUUAUUUUUAUACAUCACUUUUAUUACGAAUAUAACAAUGUAACAUAAUUAUACACCAACUAAUAUUAAAAGUACAAUACUCGGAUAGAACCCCAACCGCACUAAAUCCUUUCCCCGUAUCAGAAAACAAACCAUAGCACAAAAACCAACUAUAAACAAGCUUUUAUAUGUCUGACUUCUCUGGUUUUUUGGCAAGAGAAAUGAUAAGAUUAUUAUAGAAGCCUUUGCCCAAGCGGAUAACCUUUGCUGCAUUCGUCGCAAACCUGUGGAAUAUGUCAGGUAUAAUAGCUUCUCCAAAAUGAUUUGCGAGGAUGGGUUCGUAAACUGAUCUAAGUAAUGAUGCCACAUGCGCUGCUCUAGCAUGUUCAUCGCUGUAUUCUGGGGAAUGGGAUCUUACUUGGCAAUCAUCAUCAAUAGAGAAGCCAGCAUCAUAACGGAGCUUAAAAGUCUCCAAGUACAAAAUUUCAAAAGAACCUUCCUCCUCAACUAUGCACUUUAAUUCUUCUACUGAAGCUGCAUAGAUUGGAACAUUGAAACUGUCCAAUUUUUCUUCCUCCAGAUGUCCCUGUAUUCAUAUGCCAAUCAUCAAGUCAAUUCGAAUUACUGGACGUACAAGACUUGGAAAUCAGCCAAUUUGCUAAAACGUCAACUCUAGAAUAAAACGUGCAGCUUUUUUCCUUAAUUUCAAUAUGAAUAUAUGAUUAUUACUUGGGCUUUUAGUUCAUAUCAAAAAUUUGCCAAAAAAGAUUAAAUAAUGAACUAUUUCUUCCUUUCCAAUACCUGUUUAACCAAAAAGGGGGAAAAAAAAGAUAGCCGACAAAUUAAAUCCCCCUAUAUUUCCAACUUCCAACAAAUUAUUGGAAGGGAAAGAAUUAUCUUAACUGUAUUGGAGUUGUGACGCCUAACUCCUAAUUAAAGGUUGCUACCAUCGGAUUUACGGUGAACUUGGUCUACACAGAGUUUAUUCUAUCAAGGUUACAAGAAUAAAAUUGCGUCCAUUUUUCAGCUAAGGUAGGAACCCUGAAUAUGCUAGCUAGCCAUCUAGUUUAUUUCAGAUAACAAGCAAUGAGCAUCUGAUCAUCAAAGAGACAGAGAAAUGAUUAACCUCAACAACCAAGUCGUUUAUUGCCAUCUCAAGUAAGUCCAUGGUAUUCGGGCCGUCGAAUUCAUCUCCUUUGCAAAUGCAAGUAAGGAGCAUUCGGCCGCGUGAAAGCAACUCUUCCGAACGAAUCCUUAAAAAUGUGGUAAAAUCUUUCGUAAAUUGAUCCAAAUAUGCCUUCUGGACGGGCGGAGGACUUGCUUUGGAAGAGUAAAUGCUCCUUUUGUUCGCAGUGAUCCCCAAUUCAGUCACCAAACCGCUGGGAACCUGCAGUCUAAAGCUGGUUCCCUUUAGAAAUCUCUUUCUUGGAUUCCUGUGGAUAUCUUGAGAAUUAUUAAAGAAAUUUCCAUGCAUAGUUACUAAUGUGUUGAAUGAAAAUCAUGAACUAUUUUUGCUACAAGAAAAAGUAAAAAGAUAAAAGGGAGUAAUUCAAAGACCUGGGAUAAAAAUUGAAGACUGUAAGAAGAGUGUAAAAAAUGCAUUGACUCCUCGGGGAAGAGUCUGCCGUGGAAAGAGCCAGGCAUUGCGGCUAUUAGGCACGAUCCUAUCUUGCGUCCAUUUUCUUUCUCAAGUUUGCGGUAGAAACUUGGCAGCAACAUGAAAACCGAAUUGAAAUCAUUUUGGAAAAGAUCAGUCAGAAAAACCUGAAUGGUGGGACGUUCUAAUUCAUUCUUCAUUUCUUGCCUAACUUUGUCAAUACUUUGUACAAUGUCCCGAACUGUUAAAAGUGUGUUUGGUCCGGAAGCGCAUCCCAAAUCCGCAACUUUAAUGCACUUGUUGAUGUUGGGCAAGUUGGCCCGCAACAAUUCCCCUACGCAUUGUUCAAGGACAGGUUUCACCUUGGCGAGAACCAGUUGCUACACAUACCACUCCAAAAUACAAAUGUUAAGGGGCGAAAAAAGACAUACUAAGUUAGAGAUCGACGUAUCAUAGCAUGAUUUACUACUACUCUGUGUGUGUGUGUGUGUGUGUUAAAGAGAGAGAUAGAGAGACAGACAGACAUUGAAGGAUGAAUUCUUGGCGUAGCUUGCAUCGCCUUCGCCUCCAUUCAUAUGCAGGACUUCUUGGAGCUCCAUUCAUAUGCAGGACUUGUACAUAAAUCGAAUUGGGACUGCUAAAGAAGGUGUCUGUUAAUGAUUAAUUGUGCGAAAUUUCGGACUUAAAUGGCGAAAAUUUCUUAGAUGCGUAUGCGUAGAAAAAUCUGUCAAUUGGUCAAGAGAAAGAGCACAGCCAAUGGGAACCACACACAAUUGGGAUAAAAUGGGCCUAGGCCGGUGGAGAGUUGAUUGAGGGGAUAAUUUCAGAAACCUCCUAUAAGGUUUUUGACAAUUUCACUCAACUCCCCUAAGGUUUCAAUAAUUCAUAAACCUCCCUCAGUCCAAUCAAAUGACUAAAAUGUCCUCCACUUAAUAGUCAAUUCAUAAAGGGACAUUUAAAACCGAAAAAUACUUCUUAUUAUUCUACUAGUCAUUUUCUAGUUUAAAAAAGCAAUCUCCAUCAAUUUUCUAGUUUUCAUCUUUUCCUCCCUCCUUCCCUUCCUCUUUAAUAUUCUUCUCUCUUUUUCUCCUACAACCACUUCUCCCUCUCACCAAGUAUCGCGCUCCAUUUUUACCAACCAUACUAUUAUCAAUUUUUUACCAUCUCCAAAAUUUAUCUGUAUUUUUUGUCUUCCUAUCCUUUCUUACUAUAAAAAUUUUAGACCCUUUCUUUUUUUUUUCUCCAAUAGUUUUACUCUUUACAAAUAUUAGCCAAUUGACGUUACCAAAUCAACAAGGUGCAGACUAUAGAUUUUAUUGUCAAACUAGGGGAAGAUGAAAAAGGUGGCAGUGAUAUAGGGAAAAAAUGAAAUUGAGAUUUGGAACAUAAAAAAAUGACUAUUAUGUUUGUUAAGUAAAAAAUCUAGCAAUUACUCAUUGGUUCUCUCUUUUAUUUAUUUAUUGAUUGUGGUUUUACUAUAAAGAUAGAAUUUUAUUUUUAUUUCUUAUAGUGUUAGAGCAAUGAUGAAUUAUAUUCUUAGGGACGUGCGGACAUAAACCUUAAAAGUAAGGGAUGUAGGUGUAAUGUUUAAAACUUGAGGGGAGCUUUAUGUAAUUACUACAAACUUCAAGGGAGGUUUCUGAAAUUAUCCCUUGAUUGAGAGUGUACUUUUAAACGCGCAGAAAUUCUGGUAAGUGGGAAGAGAAUUUCAAGUUAGCCCGCGUAAAGGAGCGAAAAAUAAUAAUUAUUGGCGUGCAUUAAAUUCCUUAAUAGCAAGAAGUGUUGGUGGACUAAAGUGAACAUUAACGUUAAAAAAAAAAAUUGUCGACAGGUUAGUGGAGUGUAAUUGAAGGAGGGGUAUUGAUUUCCCAUCAACAACCCAAAAGAGGGCAAUUAAUGCAUUGUAUGAGGAUUUAGGACCUUAACGCAAAAAUCAUCUUCAAGUGCAAGAAAUGCUGCAGUAAAAAGAAUAAAUGAUUGUUAAAAAAGAAUAAGGUGGUGUUUGGUUUGAAUGUUGGAAUCGGAUUCGGAUUUGGAAUCAUUUAUCCUGAAUUUGGAAUGAAGUCCAUCAUUUCAAUACAUCUGUUUGGUUCAGUACCAAGAUUGCGUAUCAUUACUAUAGUUGAUAUUUGGUUCAUUGGCUCUUUCGAAAUGGGAUAUAAGAAAUUUUCACAAAUUAAAUAUAUUAGUAAAUUUAAUAUAACCAAUUAAUAAUUUUUAUUAGUAAAUAUGUGUAAUUAUUAAUAUAAUUGAAAAUAUCAAUUAUAUUACAUAUACUAAUAUACAUUAUAUAAUACAUAUAACUAAUAAUAUCAUUAUUAUAGGUUUGUAACUAAUUAAAUUAAAUAUUAUAUAUAAUUAAAUAUAAUUAUACAAAUAUUAUAAUAUAAUUAUAUAAUAUAAAAAAUUAAUAAUGUUGGUCGUAAAUAUAAUGAUGACAAUUUUUUUUCUUGUUUGUGAUUAUUCAACAAAUAGUGUUUUUUUAACUAAAAUGUUGGUUGUAGUAGGGCUUACAUGAUUUGUUUUGCUCGUAGCAGAGUAUGCAAUUGAUUGUGUUAUAAUAGACAUAAUAGUAUGAUAUUACAACUACAACAUGUACAUAAGACUUUGAGUUGUUGUAGAGUUAGAAAGUUGAUAUUUUAUUUACGUUCUAUGAAUGCAGUAAUAGUUACACAAAUUGAAGCCUUACUUUUGUAAGCAAUUUCACUUAUAUUCCCUCACAUUUGAUAAAGUUAAAAUAGGUAUAUAUUGUUCAUAGUAAAUUAACUACCUAACGCAAAAACUUGAGGGUAAUUAUAGAAUCAAAUUAUUUUCUCUCUUCUAAUAAUAAUUUUAUAUUGUUUUGCAUUUGAAUUGGACUGAUUUGUUAUUAACUAAUUAGUUUUAGGAGAGGUUUUGAGUUUUUUGUCAAAAUAACACUCUUUUUAGAAAAUAUUCCCAAUAUGAUUCACUUUCAAAUUUUAUUCCCAAAUCGAUGUUAUUGUUGCCACCUAAUUACCCUGAUUGCCAUGUAAGAUAACAAGAAAGGAAAGCUUUAAUCUAGUUUAUAGUUUCCAAUAAAAACUAAAAAUUUAAACUGUUUUAUUAUAGAGGCACAAGAAAAUUGCAUAACUUUGAUAAUUUCCUUAUAAUUAUUUAAAAUAAAAUUUACCAUUAUUGACCUUGCUAUUAUUGCUCUGUACAAUUUUUUUAAAUGUAUCAAACUUAUUGCAUAUAUAUUUUCAAAAAUUAAUUUGCAAAAUACAAAAAUUGCAAUGAACAUUAUAAGCAAUAACAAGAAAAAGUUACAAAAACUUCAAGGCUAUCAUAUUUUUUUAUGUUAUGCUUCCUACUCCUUGAAAAGAACUUUUACAAAAAGUAAUCAAACUAUUGCAAUUAAGAUAAUGCUAAAGUUUCUCAAAAGUAACACAAGCUAUUAAUUGAUGUUGAAUAAAUGUGCAAAAAUACUUCAAGUAUACGAGAUUAUUUGAUUAUGUGAUAGAGAGGCACUACAAAUGAACAUGCUUAUAUUGAGCACGAAUUUCUGUUGUUACGGAGUUUUCCUCUUAGACAUUUUAUCAAACACACUGUGUGAGAAAUCAUUUGUUAAAGCAAUUAGUAUUCAAAAUUUUUUGAAGGCCAUAUGAAUGUUCCAAAAACUGCACAAUAGAAAAUACAAGAGAAUAAUCUUCAUUUACCUUGAAAUUAUCAAUUCGAGGAGAAUAUUUUCAUCUACAUAUACAAUAUUAGGAAUGAUAAUGAAGUUUUAGAUGUUGUUAAUAUAAAUAUUGGCUUUUAACAAUUACAUUUGACAAGGAAAAAUAACGAAAGGACACAAAAUAAUAAAGGAAAAAAAAGUGGGAAGGUUCAGAGAGAGAAUCAGGGAAGAUAUUAGUUGGAAAAGAGAGAUAGAAUGUGCCUCUAUCUCUAUCCUACCACAGAUGCAACCUAUAUGGAAAAAAAAAAGGAAUUAUAAAGGUAAUAAAUUUUAAAAUUAGGUUACUUUGGGUAUAUGUUUCAAAAGAAGAGUUAUUUUGGCAAUAAACUCAGAGGUUUUUGAUGUUUUGAAAAUCUCAAAGAAGGACAGUGGGACUAUCAAAAACCUCAUGGGAUGUUUAUGAAAUUAUCCCAUAAUCAGUGAUGUGUUUUUUCUUUUUUGGGAUAAACUAAAGGGUUAAUAUUAGAAACCUCCCUUGAGGUUUUUUCCAAUCACACCUGGUACCCCCCAUGUUUUCGAAAUCACACCUAGCACUCCUGGAAUGACAAUUUUGGCACAUUGUCAGCCCCUCUAUUUGAAAAGAGUAAUAAAAAAUAAAUUCUAGGAGAGAGACUUUAUUUUUGUUCCACUUUUACCCACAGCCCAAGAUGAUUAGUGAAUUUUAGAAGAUAAAAAUAUAAACAAAUAGGCAUAUGAUAUUAAUUUAGAAGGUGAGAGGGUAAAAGUGUAAUAAAAAGAAUGUUAUAACUACGGACUUCCAGAUGACCGUUGCUUCCAAUGGUUAACUGACGAUGCUUGAUCUCUGUAAAUUGCUUUCAAUAGAAAACACCACCAAUAUGCAGCACUUAAAUGGGAAAUUUUGCAACAAGUUGAUUGGAGAUUCAGUAUAGAAACAAACAGUUCUAAUUGGUACAUCGGCAGCUAUAUUUUUAUUCAAAUCAUAAAAAUCGAUUAUUUUCAUGAAGUAGAAGUAAUAUUUUCAGUGCUUCACAUGUUUCCAAACUAAGUCAACAUUGUUAGUCAUGGAUAAUACAAACUUCAACAGUGAUUAUUUGGGGUGCACGUUGAAGUAUAAGGAAAUAAGUAGCAAUGUAGAUUCCAAGAGCUAAUAUACACCAGAAAAGUUAACAAUGCUACAUAUCCCAAUUUAGAAAUCUUUUAGUUCUUGCUUACUACAAGAUUAAUACAACACACACAGAAAAUGACAUUUUCAUGUAUACAUCAGAAUAUUUCUACCCUUAAAUGAACAAUAUUGGUGGUUUUGGGGUAAUUUCUCCCCGUUUGAUUGGGACAGUGAUAGGUCGAAAUUUGUUAUUAAAUUUAUAAUUAAUUUUCUCUUUAUUCUUGCCAAAUAUUGUUUUAAUUGUCGGAUUCUACUCAUGUUUGGCGUUUUGUGUUAAUUGCAGGGCAUUAGAGUAAAAAGUGCUAAAAGGGGGUGAUUUUCUUGGAAUUGAUUGUCAAACGCAAGUUUUUCAAUUCAAGAUGGAGUCUACAUGGAGUAUUGGUUGAAAAUUAGGAAACUGCCACUUUUUAUUAGAUGUUUUAUUAGGGAACAACUAGCACCAUUUUGAGGGUUUUCCUUUUUCAAUUAGAUUUGGAGUUUUAUUUAUUUUCCUUCGGUUGGUAGAGGCGGAGGGUUGGUACUUAAUAGAAAAUAGAACAAAGCCUCACGAAGGGGGACUUGGCCAUUCUCUAUCGUUUUCUUCCUUUCCUUUCGUUUAACUAUUGUAUGCUUAUGCGAUUGAAUUCAAUGUCGUGCAACUAAAUUUCCUUUUUCUAGCCGAGGAGUAACACAAAUUUGGUUCAUCUACGUCUGUGAGAUCUAAUCGUUUUUAUUGAUUUCUUUUAUUCACUAAUAUUUGUAUGUCUUCUAGUUUAAUUUCUCAUUAUUGUUAGUUGUUUGAAUAUCAAAGACGCCUGAUAUUUAAUUCAAUCUAGCGAACUAUUGUCAAUUAGGACAGUUAAAUCCAUAAUUAUUUAAUUGUCUUAAAUUAGUGACAACUAACGUAAUUGAGGUCACGUUAGAAAGAUAUACGAUCUAAUUUAAAUAAACCUUAAUAGUACGUUUAUUGAUUAGAUCAGAAUUUUUCUAGUUUUUAAUGCAAGUAAGAAAUUAAAUUCUAUGGGCGUACUUAGGGUAGUUUCUUUGUUAGAGAAGUAGUUAAUAGGCAUACUUUAACUAUCGAGACAUUAAGGAAAAGUUAGUUGUUUAUCGCGUGUAUGACAACUAUAACCUGUUUAUUAGUGAAUAAUUGAGAGAAUUUUUGCAUCGAUGAUCAGUUGUAUGAACCACUUCCAGAGUUAAUUCCUUGGCGAGAGCUUGUUAAUUCUUGGUUUAAUUUAAUUUACUCUUGUUUAAUUACUUUUAUUUUCAUUAAGUGUUUUAUUCUAAUUUUAAAUCUCCCAAAACCCCCCCUUAAUUGACUAUGUUUGAAAAGAAACAAGUUUCCUCCAAUUCUUGUGGAGACGACCCUACUUGCCAUUGUACUCGUUUAUAUCUUUUAGAGUAGGAAUUUAUUAUCGCACAGGUGCGACACCUGUCCGACAGCCUAUCACAUCCUACUGCCAGGGGUGCUUGGUGUGAUUUUGAAAACAUAGGGGGUGCUAGGCUGAUUAGAAGAAACCUUAGAGGAGGUUCUGAUAUUAAUCCUGUAGACACCAAAAUUUUACCAAUUCAUUUUAUUUUUAUUGUUAUCUUUAAUUUUUUUAAAGUUGUUUAAAUGAAAUCAUUUUUACUUGAUUGGUUUUCUUUUGUAUGAAAGUGAAGAAAGGAAAAGAAAAAAAAAUGGAAGUGAAAAAAAAAAUCAGAUUUUUGCAUAAAAAAAAUUUUGAAGCUUCGUGUGUGUGUGUGACGCACACGCGUAGUUUCCUUCUUCUCCAGAAUUGCAGCAAAGGCAAACUAGUACGACAACUGGAUUUUGGAGCAUUUUGGAUUCAAAUUUUCUUUCUUUUCUUUUUCCCCAAACAUAUCAGUACAAGAGGCCACCUCAUCCUACUAAGAACCAUCAAGAAUCUUCUGGAAAAGUGGCAAUCGAAUGGUCCAAAAAAUAAGCAGCAAAAAUGGUUUCAUCUCAACCCUUGAGAGGAGGGUUUUGAGAAGUUUGAUCUCAUUUAAAUAGCAAAGGACGUAGCUUUAGGGUAAAGGGGAGGAGAGGAAAGUCAGCUGCACAAAAAUCUGGGGUAGGAAAGAAAGAAAAGAAUGAAAAAGAAAGGCAAACAAAAAAAAAAAUUUUGUAGAAAAUUUUCCAAAAGAACAGUCUGGUCGACUAGCUAUCUUGGAGCUUGAUUUACUCCUUCGAUACAGCUCCAUUGGGGGAGAUUGUUUCUGGGUAAUCUAGGGAGUCAGUACAGAAGGUUUUGUUUAGAAAAUUUUCUAGAAAAAUGUUCGAAAACCCUUCGGAUAGAGCCCUCAAGUUGCUGCUCUGCUAUCACCGGUGUCUUCUGCAAUUUCACUUGAAGAUUCAACAAAUCUUCUUUUCUCGCGUUUUUCCUGUUCUAAUCUGAUCCGAAAUCAUCCUCAGAUAUUCACGUGAAUUUUCCUUACCCCAUUCGACGUUCGUGCAAGAGAUUUGAGUAUGUUUAUAAGAGCUUAUGUUCAAAAAGGUUGGAUCUAUAUUUUUUUAAGAUUAUUUAUAAGAGUUUUUGGACCUUGUUUGAGGUUUAUUUGAGUCCAUAAUGUCAUGAGUUUCGUGGAUAUAUAAAAAUCCGGGUUUAAAAGUAAAAAAAAAAGGACUUCCAGUGAGUUUUCGGCCAUUUUGAUCAGAAUUUUUCCAAUUUCCGACAGGUCAACGCGCCAGAAGUUUUUUUUAAAUUUCUUUUCUUUUAUUUUUGCUCCGAUUUUUCUUGUUUUGUUUUAUUAGGUUUGAUCCGAUUUAGGUAGUAAAUGGCUAAUGAAAUGUGUUUUUGGGCUGAAAAAAAUUGGGCCAAAACUUGAUUUUUAGUUGGAUUCAUGUAUGGGCUUUGUAGCUUAGGCCCAAAGUUUUGUGAUGGAUUUGAUUUAAUAAAUGUUAAUGGAUUGAUUGAUGGGCCAAGAUGUUUGGGCCCAAGUUAAACCAACUAAGGAAAAUGGCAAUGAUUUUGCAAUUUAGUCAUUGAUUUUUGAGUAAUUUCACUAUGGCUCUAAAAUUUUGGAGUUCUUUCAUUUAGGUCUUUAAUUUGCACUUUGGUAUCUGAACUUUAUCUUUUAUUGAAUUUUGAUCCCUAAUUUUUUCAAUAAUUAUAAUGUGACCCCAAAAUCCUUUUAAUUUUUUCAAUUUUGUCCCUAAUCUUCAUUAUUUCUUAACUACAAUAGUUUAUCUCAUUUAAUUGUUAAUCAUGCUUCAUUUAACUGCAUUUAACUAGCAAAUUUUAGGAAUUUUAUGUUUAUUCAUAUUUCUUUAUAAUAAUAAAGUGAAUUUGCUAUAUGUUUACAUUUUUAAAAAUUAUUAGUUAAAUUAUUGCCUAGACUAUUUUGUUGGUUUUGAAGUAUAAAUAGGGCAAGUUCUAUCUUAUUUAACCACUACUUCAAGGGAGGUACUUUUUAUUAUUUUAGUUCUUUUAUGUGCUCCUAUUUGUUUUUUAUAUAGGUAAUUGCAUGUUUUAAGUGCCUUUUCUUUUCUUUUAUCUUAUCUUAUUCAUUUUUAGCUUUCAUUUAUUUUAUUUAUUUAAAAUUUGAUGAUUAUUUGGGAGGCAUUUAAAGGCCAAAUUAUAAUAGAUAGGUGUCCAAGAAAUGUAUUCAGUGAAGCCAUGUAAUUAGUUAGAUAGAUUUUAUUUUCAUCGAAAUUGUAAUUAGUUAGAUAAAUGUAACAGAUAGAUUUAUUAUUUUCAAAAUUCCCCUUCUAGAUUGUAGUUAGGGUCUCCAAUGUAAUAGUUAAUAUUUAUUUACUUGCAUGCUUGUGUGCUUAUGUGUUUUAUUCGCUUUCUCUAGAAUUUUACAUCUAGAUAUUAUACCUAUGUGCUAUAUGCACUACAUACUCUAUAUGUUUUAUGUGUUUUAAUUAUGUUUCAUAUGCUUUAUUUAUUCAUAAUAAAUGCAUGACAUCGCCACACUAAUUCAAUGCUAGUUGUGGUCUUUCUCCAUGAUUUCU
rnacentral:lncRNA from 1 species